CAGUGCGUGUAUUACUUUCAAAGCACACCACCUCUUAUGCGAAUGUGUACCAUUAAGCUAGGGGGUGGAAUCAUCUUAUUCUACUCUUUACUCUUCUUCUUAUUUUUCUUUUUCUUUUUUUAUUAUACACAUGCAUUCACACCUCAACACACCCACAUACUCUUGAAGCACUCUCUUCAUUUGAACAGGGUACAAAAAGGUGAAGCAUGGGUUUGGCAUGAGGGUUCCAAGAUCGAUGUUGAGGUUCUUCAAUCAGUAAGAUUUUUCCAUGUAAGCGAUAUUGGUCUUGUUUCGAGUCUAAUAGUUUGUUGGUUCUAAAUGAAGACCAACUUGUUCAGAUUUGUCUGGCAUAAGCAAUCACAAUUGAAGCCGAUGGACGAGAAGAUAGUAGCUGUCGCACUACAAGCAUUUCAAAAAGUUAUGUGCGACACCAGCUUAUUAGAGACCCAAAAAAGUGGCUGACCACCUAUGAAGUUCCGUGACAUCUGAGCGAUGCAUAAGGUAGGAUUCACUAUGACAAUCACCUGUUGCAAAAAACAGGUGGCCUUCAUCUUAUGCAUAACCUGAUGUGUCAUACACAUGAUGUGAACGGGGUUUCAUCUGAAGUUCACAUGCAACUGGUUGUAGGUGAUCAUUCCUACUAGUAUUGAAUUGAAUUGACUGUAAUGAUGGUUGUCUUUGAAUAAUCCUAGAAAGUUCGGCGCAAGAACUCACUCAGAUGUUUGUCCAAGAGCUGGCUUUGAAGUGAAUAACAGCAAAAAAUACUCUGAACCAUGAGUGGUUUAGUGAGGACUCUCUACCCAAAUCAAAAGAUUUUAUGUCGACAGUUCCUGUUCAACAUGCCCAAAACAGUAAUCCCAAGGGAUAAAGAUAUGACUUUGGAAGUUGGGUCAACACCUCUAAGUCUUCUCUAGAAUCAUCUAGUGGUGGUUCGCCCUCGAAUAAUUAUAGAAGACGCACAUGAGAAGUUAUCGGUAUAGCUGUCGGAUGUACAAGUGGACUACUGAUACUUGCAUCCAUUUUCUAUCUAUGGUGGAUGAAGGAUGCACCUGGCCAUAUGCCAGUGCACACAGACUCACUAAGAU